UUCCGGGUACGAGGACGCUGUCUCCGCCCACUAGAGUGACGUCACAUCCAAGCCACCUGAGCACCGAGACCAUAGACUCCUGCAGCUCCGGCGCCCUCUGCUGGUGUGGGACUUCUCCUCCAGCGGCAGUUUGCUCCUCUUCAGCUGCAUACUGUCAGGCAUCUGGUGGUUGGGAUUGUGGUGACAACGGAUACUGAGCCCAAAGAGCUUGCGAGCGGUGCGCUGGAUCUUGAGGCGCUGGAUCUCCAGGGAACUCUGAAGGAGCCUGUAGCGGGACUGCAGGUCCCAGUCACUACCCCACAGAAGGUGCACGCUGCUGAUCGGCAGGAAAUGAGUGGAGGGCAGCCUCUUCAGGAAGGACUUGAACUCGUCUGGAUGGCAGAAAGAGAUGGGGCCUGCUGCUGAGAAGAAUCCCACAUCAUGAUGCUGCCACCACCAUGCUUCAUGGUCAGGAUGAUGUGUCUGUGAUGGUGUUUAGUGUUUGGUGUCCACCAAAUAUAGUGUCCAGUCAGGUGGCCACAAAACUCAGUUUUAGUCUCUUCAGACCAAACAAUCUUCCAUUUGGCUUCACAGUUUUACACAUGCCAUCUGGCCAACUCUAGUCAAGAUUUAAUUUGAGCUUUUCUCAACCGUGGCUUCAUCUUCAACAGUCUACCAUAAAGUUUUGACUGGUGAAAAAUAAGCAACAGUUGUUGUGUUCACAGUGUCUUCCUUCUCAGCUGGAAUUCCUUCAGAGGAGUCACAGGUGUCUUGGUGGCCUUCCUCACAAGUCUCUUUUGGUACAGUUGCUCAGUUUUUGAGGACAAUCUGUUCUAGGCAGAUUUAUACAUGUGCCAUAUUCCUUCCAUUUCUUCAUGAUGGAUUUAACUGUAAUCCAAAGGAUAUUAGAUGAAUUAGAGAUUGUCUGGUAUUUCUCCCCUGACUUGUGUUUUUUCAUAAACAGAGUUGCUAGGAGUGUUCUUUUGUCUUCAUGGCGUAGUUAUAGCCAGCAGUACUGAUUCACCAGUUCCUUGACCUUCCAUAUACAGAUACUCUAACAUUACAAUCACUUGAGACACAUUCACUGCAUUCAGAUGAUCUCCAUUUCACUAAUUGUGCAACUUAUUAGGUACUUAUUAGUACCUCUGUUGUAUAAGGUGAGUCACUUUAAAGGAGGUAAAUACUUAAACAACAGUUUAUUUUACAUUUUGUGUUUUUAGUUCAUUGCCAUUACUUUGUAUAAAACUGUUUUCACUUUGACAUGUAGGAGUCUUUAUGUGUGAAAUCUUGAUAAAAGAGCCUAGUUAAACUGAAUAUGUUGAAUAGUAAUAAAAGCAGAUUGUGAGUGGUA